rnacentral:rRNA from 1 species
UACGUAGGCAGCGAGCGUUGUUCGGAGUUACUGGGCGUAAAGAGUGCGUAGGCGGUGCUCUAAGUUUGGUGUGAAAUCUCCCGGCUCAACUGGGAGGGUGCGCCGAAAACUGGAGUGCUCGAGUAUGGGAGAGGUAAGCGGAAUUCCUGGUGUAGCGGUGAAAUGCGUAGAUAUCAGGAGGAACACCUGCGGUGUAGGCGGCUUACUGGACCAUGACUGACGCUGAGGCACGAAAGCGUGGGGAGCAAACAGG